ACGAUCAAUAUCGAUUUAAUCGAUCGUUUAUAUCGAUCGAUUAGCUAAUAAUAACCUUUGUCAGUAACAUGCACAGAUAUGUUACCAGAAAGACAUUCCGGGAACAACAGAACCACAAUUCAGAAAUUCCCACAGCCGGACCUCCGGCACUGUAACCCUUUACCUGCCGGUAUCCACGUUUGUGGGUACCGGCUUUUUUAUUCACC
rnacentral:sRNA from 1 species